rnacentral:rRNA from 1 species
GCAAGUCGAACGGCAGCACGGGUGCUUGCACCUGGUGGCGAGUGGCGCAUGGGUGAGUAAUAUAUCGGAACGUACCUUAUCGUGGGGGAUAACGCAGCGAAAGCUGCGCUAAUACCGCAUACGCCCUGAGGGGGAAAGCGGGGGACCGUAAGGCCUCGCGCGAUUAGAGCGGCCGAUAUCUGAUUAGCUUGUUGGUGGGGUAAAAGCCCACCAAGGCGACGAUCAGUAGCUGGUCUGAGAGGACGAUCAGCCACACUGGGACUGAGACACGGCCCAGACUCCUACGGGAGGCAGCAGUGGGGAAUUUUGGACAAUGGGGGCAACCCUGAUCCAGCAAUGCCGCGUGAGUGAAGAAGGCCUUCGGGUUGUAAAGCUCUUUUGUCAGGGAAGAAACAGCAGCUCUAACACAGUCUGCGAAUGACGGUACCUGAAGAAUAAGCACCGGCUAACUACGUGCCAGCAGCCGCGGUAAUACGUAGGGUGCAAGCGUUAAUCGGAAUUACUGGGCGUAAAGCGUGCGCAGGCGGUUAUACAAGACAGGCGUGAAAUCCCCGGGCUUAACCUGGGAAUGGCGUCUGUGACUGUAUGACUAGAGUGUGUCAGAGGGGGGUAGAAUUCCACGUGUAGCAGUGAAAUGCGUAGAUAUGUGGAGGAAUACCAAUGGCGAAGGCAGCCCCCUGGGAUAACACUGACGCUCAUGCACGAAAGCGUGGGGAGCAAACAGGAUUAGAUACCCUGGUAGUCCACGCCCUAAACGAUGCCGACUAGUUGUUGGGAAUUUACAUUCUCAGUAACGUAGCUAACGCGUGAAGUCGGCCGCCUGGGGAGUACGGUCGCAAGAUUAAAACUCAAAGGAAUUGACGGGGACCCGCACAAGCGGUGGAUGAUGUGGAUUAAUUCGAUGCAACGCGAAAAACCUUACCUACCCUUGACAUGUCACUAACGAAGUAGAGAUACAUUAGGUGCCCGUAAGGGAAAGUGAACAC